CUUACAACUUAAGAACUUCUCAUUUGUAACAGGAGUGCCAUGAAAAAAUUGCCUUUCAGCUUUGUCUGCUUCUUUUUCUGUUUUGUUUCCUCUCUUCCAGUUUCUUUUUAAAUGUUUAUUUAUUUUGAGAGAGGGAGCAUAUGUG